GCCUCCUGGACGUGGCCAUUGACAUUAAUCUGUUUCUUCCUCAGUGUUUUUCCAGCCCUCUGCAACUCCCAUGUUUGGACUGGUCUUCUGGGGAUCAGUCAGGCCAGGGCACCACAGCUCCCAACACUCCAGGACAGUGCUACAAUAAAGCCUAAAGUUUACCCAUGGAAUGUUAAACAGAACUCUGCACAAGGCUCUUCAGCAGAGAUGAAGGUGUACAGAGGAAGAGACAAGCGGGAGAUUUCAAGGUUCAUGCCUGCUCAUGCUGGGAGAUAUUUCAUGUGUCAAGGUCAGGUUAAAUCAAUGACUUUCUGCCCUGGCCUUUCCUUAUUUCUAAAAUUCUUAUAUGUAUCACCACCUUUUUUGGAUUACAAAAUGUAAAUGGCACCAAAGAGUGUGACUGGUCUAAAACUAUGGCAGAUUUUCAGUGCUUAUCAGUUUGAGACCACAUCAACAAUCUUGGAGUCAAAACCUAAUUUAAACCUGGAAAUAGACAGGUAGCUUGAACUACUUCACUAAUUACAUAAGUAAAUUUGUGACACUGCUCAUGUGACUCAUUGUACAGACAGAUGUUCUUGCUUCCAGUGAAUCAACUCGGUGUUUGGAUCAUCUCAAAUCAUGCCGGAGAACAUGAUCAUCAGGUUUGACACAAACUUGUAGAGCUCAUGCAGCUUGAGUGAAGCCAAAUACUGAGACAUUUUGAAAUCAUUACUCAUUUUUAAUUUCAAAAUAUUGUGGAAGUAUUUUCGUAAAAACGUUGUGGAUUUCUGGACCCCACUGGAAUAUGCAUUAAAAUUAUGUGCAGUUUUCAGCUAUAUGCUUAUUAAUUAUUAUAGAUGUUAUGGUAAAUAUACAUACACCAUGGUUCAAUCACACUCACUGACUGCCAGAAAGCUGUACAGUAGAUCUCCAAAGGUUUGUGAGAGAUGACUCUUUGGGAAGAAAAUUGAGCCAGAAACCCAAUGGGGUCAAUUGUGCCAAUUUUAGAUGGAGGAGAUGACAGAAUUGUGGUGUCAGGUCAAAGAUUUUGACCUCAAUUCUAACAGCUGGCUGACCCCUUUGGGACCUGCCAUUGCUAGCAUAUGUGCACUAUACAGCAAUGAAAAAAGAAGUGCUGAUGUAGCAAAGAAAGUGAAAAUUAGAGAUAUCCUCUCUUAGGUAUUUAAUGAAUACCUUUUUGGGUGGUAGGCAAUAAUUUACAGUGCAAAGUCAGCCAUAUGACCGUCAUAUUGUAGUAGCAGAAUACUUAUCAUAACUGGAAAUGAAUUGCUCCUUAAUCAGCCUUACCAAGAGCACUGGACAUAUCAAUAUUUACAAAAUAAGCCUUCUAACUAAAACCUCUGCAUGACAACAGUCCAUAAAUCACUUGCUCUAUUCCUAAAACACUUUUCUCUCUGUCCCAGAAAAUUAUUUUAGGAACAAUCCCAAAAGGUCCUUAAAAUGGCGUAUUUUCUCAUCCAUCAUUUGGUCUGUAAAAAAGUUUUCUAUUUGAUCGACCACCUCGACAAGCUUGUUGAUUUGAGAUCAUGGAUUUAUUUAAAGCGGUAAACUUAUAAAUACUGAUAUUAAAUAAGACAGUGAUAAGAAGUGUGUGUAUGACGUCUUUGAUAAAAAUAAAACUUCUACAAAAGUUUGUGUUCUACA
ensembl:lncRNA